AGCCAAGAGCCGGGACGAACUUUCUCCCAGCUGGCCGAUCUUCCCCAUCGCGGCCGACAGUUCCACCUUGAGGGCGCUAAUCUUGGCGGCCUGAGCCCAAAUUCAGUCGCUGGCGCUCUUCUUGCAUUCUGCGAGCUCCUUCACGAAAUCCGCCUUCCUCCGGCUAUACUCCAUGAUCCCCUUCACGUGGAGAUUCUGAAAGUGGGUGGCCUCCGCGGUGGCUUCAGAAUGACCUUCUCUCAAUCUGCGAAGCUCGUCUUCCAUCUUCUUUGACUUCUUUGUCAAGUGAAGGACUUCCUUCUUCAGCCGCU
rnacentral:lncRNA from 1 species